CGGAGGAUCCAAGCGUUAUCCGGAAUCAUUGGGUUUAAAGGGUCCGUAGGCGGUUUAGUAAGUCAGUGGUGAAAGCCCAUCGCUCAACGGUGGAACGGCCAUUGAUACUGCUGAACUUGAAUUAUUAGGAAGUAACUAGAAUAUGUAGUGUAGCGGUGAAAUGCUUAGAGAUUACAUGGAAUACCAAUUGCGAAGGCAGGUUACUACUAAUUGAUUGACGCUGAUGGACGAAAGCGUGGGGAGCGAACAGGAUUAGAUACCCUGGUAGUCCACGCCGUAAACGAUGGAUACUAGCUGUUGGGAGCAAUUUCAGUGGCUAAGCGAAAGUGAUAAGUAUCCCACCUGGGGAGUACGUUCGCAAGAAUG
rnacentral:rRNA from 1 species